CUUUGCCUCACUGAUCUCACUGUCUCAUCUCACUCUCGCUUCUCACUGUCUCAUCCCACUCUCACUCUCACUCUCGCGUUAUCACUAUUAUCACCGUCUCAUCUCACUCUCUCUUCUCAUUGUCUCAUCCCACUCUCAGUCUCACUCUUGCGCUAUUUCAAGCUAUAGUCAUGGCUUCUCCUAUCUCUCGCACAUAGCUUCAAUGGUUGCGUCUCUUCAAUUUCAAUUUUAAGAAAUGAUCCGGAAGGUUUUAUUAAUAAGUAUGCAUUUAAGUGUACAACAUUUGAUAAGUCACAAGCAACAAUAACUAAAGAAGAACCUGAAGCAAAUACACAAAAUGAAGGAAUUGAAUUACCACGCAUAGACUCUGAUAUUAGAGGUAUGCGAUGAGACUCAAAUUGCUGAACUGAGAUUAAAGGUAUUAUGGUGAGGAAACUUCUAACAAGAAUGGGAGGCUACCAUGGCCAAGUCUAACACUUCAAUAGGACCUUGUUAGACAUCUCCAAGUUAAGGGUGGUUUGGGGGAUCACUAUUGAUAGUUGGUCCUAUUUCAUGGCUCCUAAGCUAUUUUGUAUUAAUGAUGAUAAGAAGGAGAUUUGGUACCACAUGUAUGUAGAGUUAAGGGAAUGCAUCUCCUUGAGCCAUUAUAACUAUAAUUAUGAAUGUUUAAAUUACAUAAUUGUCGAUGAUGAUUGAAUGUGUUUUUGAGUGAUGUCAUUAAGUUGAAUGUGAAUAUGAGGAUAAAUGUUUUGUAUAUGCCUAUUUUUAUGUUUUAUAUAUAUUGUACAUGGAUGAGAUGCAUUCUCACUCCUUGUGUAUUUUUUUUAUGU